UAUUCCACCCCACUGGGAGAAUGGGCUUUGGCGCCACAUUGCUUUGUCUGUGUUCACCUUGGAAACAGAUAGGCCACAAAGCAAGCAAGGUUCGCAGGGAUCAGGGUAAGGUUCCAAUGCCCAGCUUUGGUGUCGUCUUCCUGGAUCCAUGGAUGCGGAUAACAGAAAAAGGCAUCAUUCUUAGGUGCCUGCAGGGAGUUGCAUCAUUAGGUCAUGUCUUAGCCUUGUAGAUAAGCUAAGACACGUAAGGAGUACAGAAGAGGCAGUAUAUCAAGGUGAGAUGAUUCAUUACUUGUCCAGCAUGAACUGUUCUGUGUUGGUUAACCAGGUAAGCCUGAGGCUGUAAGUAAAGCUUUCUAAAGAACCUAGAUUAUUUAUUUUGUGGCCAGUCCCUAGUUAUUCCUAUUAAUAAACUACCUCAACCGUUUAGGCUUAAUUUCCACUCAGCACACGAGUAGCUGUGGAAUGCCAAGCUUCUGAGAACAGAUUCCACAUAAGAUCCUCUUCUUCCUUUUCAUCUUUGCCCAGGCAGCCCAUGUCUGCUGAAUAUUGGAUGUUCAUAUUUUAUCUUGACAAGCAAGCUGAGUUAAAGAAGUAGGCAUAUGUUAUAUCUGUCCCUGGAGCAUGUGUGUUUGCACUGAAAUCAAAGAAAGAUAAAGGAGAAAAGCUAUCAUCAAAUUAUACGUUUAAUCCUUCCAAAUAUUUAGAAAGUAGAAUGAUUUCCAUCACAAAACACUGGCUACAUGUGAAUAGAUCUUUUGCAGAAAUUGUGUGCUAUCAGUAUUGGUAUAUACCGUACACCCUAUACUCCUUUAAAGUAUUUCAUUACAAAUGGUAUGUGUAUGUGUGUGUGCACAUAUGUGUGCAUGAGCAUGUGUUUUGUUUACUGAGUAGUUAAUUACCUCAUGGUUAUCCAUUUCUCUAGACUGCAAGCUUUCUCAAGGUAGAUCCUAUGUCCCACUUUUCAGUGUGGGUUCUCAGUUGUCCGCAUGGCUGUGACAACAGUUCCACACAACCAGAAAGGUCACGCGCUGCACCUCGAUAUUUGCUCUCCUGCAUUUAUAAUAUAUAUAUAUAUAUAUAUAUAUAUAUAUGACAAAAAAUUGCUCUUCAGCAGAAAACCAUAUUGUGAGAGAAAAUAAAUGUAUUUACUUUAAUCCAUGCAAUGCCUUGAGAACCUGUGUAAUUGGGCCUUACAGCCAUCCAUGAGUGAAAGGCAUUCUCUCUUGUACUCUUCUUCUGUCUUUAGUCUCUCCAGGGAGUCACCUGGGAGCUCUGACCGUGGGUCCAGGUGUAUGGCAGGAAGCUAAGCAAUGUUGUUCAGGUGUGAGGAUGUCUUCACCAUGGGUGUUAGUUACUUUUCUGUUUCCAGGCUAGAAAACCAUGACCAAGGCACCUUCCAGAGGGUAGGGUGUAUUGGGACUUUCAGCACCAUAAGAAGAAUCUAUACUGGUGGGAGAGACCCAGCAGCAGGUCUUGGAGUAGGAGGAUGAGAGAACACACUUUCAACUGCAAACAUGAAGCGGAGAUUGUUCACUGGAAGCAGGAUGAGGCUAUAAACACCCAACGUGUAUCCCCAUGAUGUCCUUCCUCCAGCAAGGCUCCACCCCACCAAGGUUCUACAGUUUCUUCAAAAGGCAGCACCAACUGGGGACCAAGUGUUUAAAACAUGAACCCAUGGGGGGCAUUUCUUAUUUGAUCUACCACAAUAUGGAUGUCUCCAAAAUGACAAAACUUGGGAAACCCCGACUGAAGAAUCAUCGCCACUGAACUGGCCUAUGGGCAUGCCUGUGGAGGAUUUCCUGGAUUGUCAAUUGAUGUAGGAGAGCCCAGGCCACCGUGGGAGUCACCGUUCCUAGGCAGCUCCGUUGCCCACAAGCAGCCAAGCUGAUUCUGAUGAAACAAACCACAGAAGACAAAUUUGCCUCCACCUUGGUCACCACGUUAACACUAAAUUUCCUAAGGUAUGGAUACCUAGGUUAUAUAAGGAGAAGUUAUUAAUAA